UGUGGCUGGAACUGGAGGCAUUAAGUGUCACUGUUGCAUCAAACUGAGAGACAUCCAUAUGCCUCAACCCUGGUUUUGGCUCUGGUCCAGGCUAUUUCAACAGUUUUCUUGUUGGCCCGUCUGCUUCUACCUAGAAGGAGAACCUGUAGUGUCUAUGAUCCAUCCUUCAUUCAAAGGUACAUCUGCUGGAGUCACGGUGCUCCUGGCCAACCCCAGGACCACUUUCAAAGCACCUUCUGGUAAGGAAGUCUCAGCUGCCCUACGAAGAAAAUCGUGUGUUGACACAGUUUCCAAACCAUAUUGAAAACAGUGAGUUAGCCUCACAAUUAAGAACUAA